UCCAUAGUAUACGAGAACUGCUUAAGACAACUGGCUACAUUUCUGAUCCUGCCUGUGGAUAAAUGCACUGGCCUUCUGAGGACUGGUGCGCCGUGCAACUCUGUUGCACCCUUUGAGAUCAACAUCACCACCAAGGUCACAGCAGCUACUAUCGAAUGGAUAUAAUGGACACAGCUUGUGGAGGUGGAAUUCCCAGCCUGUGAUGAAGUUUGGGAUGCAAGCUGGAGAUUUCUUGUCCACCAACAUUUUGUUGUCUGGCAACAACUACGCAAAGGUUGCCCUCUUGUUCAAAUUCAUGAACAUGGGGAUGGUGAACAGGAACACCUUCUUCUCCAUUCAGGACACUUAUUGCGUCAAUACAAUAAAGGACUUCUGGGAAGAAAGAAGGACAGAGGUUCUUUGUCGCCUUCAAGGGAAAGAUGUUGUUGUCCUAGAUGGCAGAAAUGACUCUCCUGGUCACUGUGCACAAUACUGCAGCUACACCACCAUGGAGAAUGACGCCAAGGAGAUCAUUCAUGUUGCCACCAUAGACAAGUGGCAAACAUCAUGGAACUCUGUCGUCUUGGAGAAGGAGUUUCAUCCAGACUGGACAAGCUUACAUCAGAAAUAAAGCUAGUGGAGAUCUGCACAGAUGCUCAUGCCCAGAUUGGUGCCCUUAUGAACCCAGACAAAGGCAAAUACAAGGCCCUUGGAAUUCAUGACAGUCUGGACAUAUGGCAUGGUGCGAAG